rnacentral:rRNA from 1 species
UUGACCUCAGAUCAGGUAGGACUACCCGCUGAACU